CGGCGGACGGGUGAGUAACGCGUGGGUAACCUGCCUCAUACAGGGGGAUAACAGUUGGAAACGGCUGCUAAUACCGCAUAAGCGCACAGUACCGCAUGGUACCGUGUGAAAAACUCCGGUGGUAUGAGGUGGACCCGCGUCUGAUUAGCCAGUUGGCGGGGUAACGGCCCACCAAAGCGACGAUCAGUAGCCGACCUGAGAGGGUGACCGGCCACAUUGGGACUGAGACACGACCCAA
rnacentral:rRNA from 1 species